GCCAGUAUGGUGGUUAGGACACUCGGCUUGUAAUCGAGUGGGCUCGGGUUCGAAUCCCGAAAAAGGCA
rnacentral:tRNA from 1 species